UACGUAUGGAGCAAGCGUUAUCCGGAUUUACUGGGCGUAAAGGGAGCGUAGGCGGCCUGCCAAGUCUGAUGUGAAAUACCGGGGCUCAACCCCGGGGCUGCAUUGGAAACUGGCAGGCUGGAGUGCCGGAGAGGCAGGCGGAAUUCGUGGUGUAGCGGUGAAAUGCUUAGAUAUCACGAAGAACUCCGAUUGCGAAGGCAGCCUGCUGGACUGUAACUGACGCUGAUGCUCGAAAGUGUGGGUAUCAAACAGG
rnacentral:rRNA from 1 species